UACGUAGGGGGCGAGCGUUGUCCGGAUUUAUUGGGCGUAAAGAGCGUGUAGGCGGUUCGGUAAGUCUGUCGUGAAAUCCUGAGGCUCAACCUCGGGCGUGCGAUGGAUACUGCCGGGCUAGAGGAUGGUAGAGGCGAGUGGAAUUCCCGGUGUAGCGGUGAAAUGUGCAGAUAUCGGGAGGAACACCAGUAGCGAAGGCGGCUCGCUGGGCCAUUCCUGACGCUGAGGUGCGAAAGCCAGGGGAGCGAACGGG
rnacentral:rRNA from 1 species